UUAGGUCUAAUGACAACCCAGUGAUAGUGGUUUUGGACAUGAUUUAGGUCUAAUGACAACCCAGUGAUAGUGGUUUUGGACAUGAUUUAGGUCUAAUGACAACCCAGUGAUAGUGUUUUUGGACAUGAUUUAGGUCUAAUGACAACCCAGUGAUAGUGGUUUUGGACAUGAUUUAGGUCUAAUGACAACCCAGUGAUAGUGUUUUUGGACAUGAUUUAGGUCUAAUGACAACCCAGUGAUAGUGGUUUUGGACAUGAUUUAGGUCUAAUGACAACCCAGUGAUAGUAGUUUUGGACAUGAUUUAGGUCUAAUGACAACCCAGUGAUAGUGGUUUUGGACAUGAUUUAGGUCUAAUGACAACCCAGUGAUAGUGUUUUUGGACAUGAUUUAGGUCUAAUGACAACCCAGUGAUAGUGGUUUUGGACAUGAUUUAGGUCUAAUGACAACCCAGUGAUAGUGGUUUUGGACAUGAUUUAGGUCUAAUGACAACCCAGUGAUAGUGGUUUUGGACAUGAUUUAGGUCUAAUGACAACCCAGUGAUAGUGUUUUUGGACAUGAUUUAGGUCUAAUGACAACCCAGUGAUAGUGGUUUUGGACAUGAUUUAGGUCUAAUGACAACCCAGUGAUAGUGGUUUUGGACAUGAUUUAGGUCUAAUGACAACCCAGUGAUAGUGGUUUUGGACAUGAUUUAGGUCUAAUGACAACCCAGUGAUAGUGUUUUUGGACAUGAUUUAGGUCUAAUGACAACCCAGUGAUAGUGUUUUUGGACAUGAUUUAGGUCUAAUGACAACCCAGUGAUAGUGGUUUUGGACAUGAUUUAGGUCUAAUGACAACCCAGUGAUAGUGGUUUUGGACAUGAUUUAGGUCUAAUGACAACCCAGUGAUAGUGGUUUUGGACAUGAUUUAGGUCUAAUGUCAACCCAGUGAUAGUGGUUUUGGACAUGAUUUAGGUCUAAUGUCAACCCAGUGAUAGUGGUUUUGGACAUGAUUUAGGUCUAAUGACAACCCAG